ACACGUAGGGGGCGAGCGUUGUUCGGAAUCAUUGGGCGUAAAGGGCGUGCAGGCGGUCCUGCAAGUCCGGCGUGAAAGACCCCGGCCCAACCGGGGGGACGCGCUGGAAACUGCGGGGCUUGAGUCCCGGAGGGGAUGCCGGAAUUCCAGGUGUAGGGGUGAAAUCUGUAGAUAUCUGGAAGAACACCAAUGGCGAAGGCAGGCAUCUGGCCAUGUACUGACGCUGAGACGCGAAGGUGCGGGGAGCAAACAGGUUUAGAUACCCUGGUAGUCCGCACAGUAAACGAUGUGCACCAGGUGGCGGGGGGUCGACCCUCGGUACCGUAGCUAACGCAUUAAGUGCACCGCCUGGGGAGUAUGCUCGCAAGGGUGAAACUCAAAGGAAUUGACGGGG
rnacentral:rRNA from 1 species